rnacentral:lncRNA from 1 species
AUCUACGCUUCUUAUUGAAAGAAUUGUGGGGACUUACUUAGUUCAGCUGUCGACUGGUGCCAACUUCCACCACACAACUAAUUCUUUAAAGCCAUACCUACAACAGUGAUGCCCUGAGAUGGCAUUGCCUAAGAAAGCUGUGUUCAUCUUACUUUGUACAAGCAUCUCCAUGAGGUUUGGACAACACAGUGUCAGCCUUUCUGCCUCAGCCUCCCAGAGCUUGUAUUGUAGGUGUGAGCUACCACUUGGCUUCCGGUUCUAUUUUUAAAGACAUCUUAGAGACUAUAAAACGUCGUUAAGUUUUCAUAGUGCAUUACAGAAUUCCCAGAUUCAUCUCUGCAUUUGGGCAUGUGAGAAGGCCUGGCAUAGUGUGUGGUGCAUGUGAAUGAUUUCAUCCUGCCUGCUGGACAAGAAGCCAUGGGGUAACCCAGUCCCUCUUCCUGGGCAGUGUUGGCAGCUGGCAAUGCUCCUUCUCUAGUGGAGUGUACUCUGGGGAUGUCUGCUUCCCUAAAUCUCCAUUCGUUGUUCACCUACAGCAGUGGUUCUCAACCUUCCCAAUGCUGUGACCUCUUAAUACAAUUCCUCCUGCUAUGGUGACCCCAACCCCCAACCGUAAAAUUAUUUUCAUUGC